UACGGAGGGUGCAAGCGUUGCUCGGAAUCACUGGGCGUAAAGCGACCGUAGGUGGCCAACUAAGUCAGACGUGAAAUCCCUCGGCUUAACCGGGGAACUGCGUCUGAUACUGGAUGGCUAGAGAUUGGGAGAGGGAUGCGGAAUUCCAGGUGUAGCGGUGAAAUGCGUAGAUAUCUGGAGGAACACCAAUGGCGAAGGCAGCUCGCUGGGACGUGACUGACGCUGAGACGCGAAAGCGUGGGGAGCAAACAGG
rnacentral:rRNA from 1 species